AAAGGAAGUGGGAUAUCCAAACAGUCAGGAGGUUGGCUUAGAAGCAGCCAUCCUUUAAAGAAAGCGUAAUAGCUCACUGAUCUAAUUAAGACGUCCUGCGCCGAAGAUGUAACGGGGCUAAAGCCAUAUACCGAAGUUACGGGAUUGCAUUGAAAGACAUGCGAUCGGUAGCGGAGCGUUCUGUAGGCCGGUGAAGGUGUUCUGUAAGGAAUGCUGGAGGUAUCAGAAGUGAGAAUGCUGACAUGAGUAGCGAAAAGAAGUGUGAGAGACACUUCCGCUGAAAGUCCUGUCGACGCGGCCG
rnacentral:rRNA from 1 species